rnacentral:rRNA from 1 species
UACGUAGGGUGCGAGCGUUAAUCGGAAUUACUGGGCGUAAAGCGUGCGCAGGCGGUUUUGUAAGCCAGAUGUGAAAUCCCCGGGCUUAACCUGGGAAUGGCAUUUGGGACUGCAAGGCUGGAGUGUGGCAGAGGAGACUGGAAUUCCCGGUGUAGCAGUGAAAUGCGCAGAUAUCGGGAGGAAUACCGAUGGCGAAGGCAGGUCUCUGGGCUGACACUGACGCUCAUGCACGAAAGCGUGGGGAGCAAACAGG